AUGCCAUCUGUCAAAAGUAGUCAACCAAGGAAAAUUGUGGAGUUGAUUCAAGCCGUGGAGAAAGCACUCAGGGACCUGAGUGACCUCGGAGACACAGGCGCCAUAAAGAAUCCCCUUGUAACAAAAUCAAUCGAGAGUAAACUCCCUGAAUCCCUCAAAAAAGAGUGGCUUGUCUAUGUAGCCGAUCCAAAUAAUGGAGUAACGCCAGACAAACGGUUUGAUCAUCUCUUGGCAUUCCUCCAGAAGCAAGAAGCUAUCUAUGAGGAGCUUGAGCAGCUACGAGAUGAGGAGCCAAGUAAGCCAAGUUGGAGAGACAACAGGAUUGAGCAGAAAAGUGCAAGAACCAAGUCUACAAAGUCAGCUGAUGACCAAGGCUGUGUAGUCUGUGGUGAUGCCAAACACAAGAGAAAACUCUACUUCUGCAAGCAAUUCAAGGCUCUGACUGCAGCCGAAAGGAAGUCUUCAGUAAAGAAGUUGGGAGCGUGUACAAGAUGCCUUGAGGUUCACGAUGACCGGUCAUCCUGCAAACCUGGCUUUCUAUGCAAAAAUCAAGACUGCAGAGAAGAACAGGCUGAGCAUCACUUCUACCUCUGUCCUAAAUCUAUGUCAAAGAAGUCUGACAAGUCGGAAAAGGAUAAAGGCAGAAGGAAGUACACAGAGGGUCAAGAGGAUUUCAUCAAAAAUCUCCCACCCGACCUAGCAAAGCAGUUCAGGGAGGUCUUCUCAAACGUUGCCUCCAGAGUCUUCACAACUUCAAAUGACCAGCAAGGUCUACUUGAAAAAAGCGGGAUGCAGGAGCUUCCAGUGAUCAUGAUGCUACUCGUCGUCACAGCUAACGCCGGAGAGAAAGUCGGAACACUCAUCGACUUAGCAUCUGACACCAAUUACAUCACUCACAGAGCAGCAAGCCGUCUGAAUCUGAAGAGUGAAGACAUCAUACUCAUUGUCCAUGGAGUAGCCGGAAUGAAGGUCCAAGUAAAGACAAAGCGCUAUCUCCUCAAAAUCCGUGUAUCCACUUCCAAGGACACACUGAGAGCACAUCAAUUGGUUUGCUAUGGGCUUGAGAACAUCGCAGAUGUCCACAAAAGUGUAACACCUGGACAACUGCAGCCAUUCUUCCCAGAUGUACCUCUUGAUGAGCUUGUGAGGCCCAAAGAGGUGGAGCUUCUCAUUAGCCACAGAGAAGGCCGACUAGCUCCACAGAGAGUCAAAGUUGUGGGGGACCUUGUACUGUGGGAUGGACCCCUCGGGAAAACGGUUGGAGGAACCCACCCCAAACUGUUCGAGGAGGUUGAAGUGUCAGCCCACAUGUCAAAGACGCAUUUUGCAAGGUCAAUGAGAGCGGCAGCUGUGAAAUAUGAAGAGCUCACGUACAGUCCAGAACAGAACAUCUCAAACAUAGAAGUAUUCGAAAUACAAGGAUCAACCGCUUCAACCAGCAAACAAAGCUUCCUGGAGUGGUGGCACUGGGAUAGCAUUGGCGCCGCAUGCAAGCCCAGAUGCGGCGGCUGUUGUUGCGGAAAUUGCCAGCCCGGUGGCAAAGAAAUGACCCUUGCAGAAGAAAGGGAGCUUGAGGUGGUAAAAGAAGGACUCACGUAUGUCAUGAGCGAUGAUCACAGCAGACAACCACAUUGGCACGCAAAGUAUCCCUGGCUAGAGGAUCCAGCCUCACUGCCGAACAACAGAGGAGCAGUGGAAGCAACAUUCCUGAGGACAGAGAAGCAGCUAGCCAAAGCACCAGAGUGGAAGUCUGCUUACAAAGCUCAGGUGCAUGACAUGGUGGAGAGAGGAGCUGCAGUCAAGUUGACUGAAGAACAGAUCAUUACCUGGAAGGGACCAGUAUGGUUUGUAAGUCACCUUAUAGCACCAAACCCACACUCUGUAACAACCCCUGUAAGACUCGUCUGGAAUAGCAGUCAAAAGUUCAAAGGAACCAGCAUGAACGACCUACUGAUGAAGGGGCCAGACGUCCUCAACCAGAUACGUGCUGUCCUCCUGAGGUUCAGAGGGGGAACCAACGCUGCCUUAGGGGACAUCACAAAAAUGUACAACUCAGUAUGGUUGGAAGACCGUGAGAUGCACCUCCACAGGUUCCUCUGGCGAGACUCAGAAGAGGAGGAGAUGGAGGAGUACGCUAUCACCAGAGUCAACAUUGGUGAUAAACCGACAGGCUGCAUUGCACAGCUCGCAAUGCGAGAAACAGCCAACCUACCUUCCUUUGCCCACCUCGAAGAGGAGCGAGGAGUACUUCAUAAUGACAGCUAUGUCGACGACAUCCUAACAUCUCACAAUGACCUUGAGAAACUAAAAACCAUCACAGCGAAUGUGGAGCUAAUCCUGAAAGCUGGAGGUUUCCUGUUGAAGCCUUGGGUCUUCUCAGGCCAAAGUGGGAGGAAGAUGAAAGACGAUGCGAGCAAGACCAAAGGUAACAACAUGGUUCUCCCGAAUCAAAUGAGGGAUGACGAGAACAAAGCACUUGGUCUAGGUUACCUCGUGGAAGAGGAUAAGCUCCACGUCAUGUCAUCCAUAAACUUCUCAAAGAGAAAGCAGAAGAUGCGACUUGGCCAAGACCUUCUACUAGACCAAGUAAGAGCGCAGACCCCCAACCCUUUGACAAGAAGGGACCUCCUGAGUCAAGUCUCAGGGUUAUAUGAUCCAGUUGGCCUGGUGACUCCUGCCAAGCAAAAGGGUGCCAUCCUUGUGCGGAGAGCAUUCCAGGAGGCAAAGAGUGUCAACUGCCCUGUCAAAGACACCUGGGACACAGCAUUGUCAGACAGCCUCAGAGAAGAUGCAGUCCGGCUCUUCGAAGAGUAUGUGCAACUCGGGUGGAUUACAUUCACCAGGGCCAUAAUGCCUCCAAGCUUCAGUGGAGAACCUUGGGCAAUAACAUUCUCAGAUGGAAGCGAGCAGGCCUACGGCGCAGUGAUGUACCUCCGGUGGAACACUGAGCAGGGCCCAGUCGUCACUCUAGUGGAGUCCAAGGCAAAGCUAACUCCUUUAGACCACAAAGGUGAUGCUGUCAAAGCAGAGAUGUGCGGAGCAGUGUUUGCCUCACGGCUCAAAAAGUACUUCGAACAGCACAGCAAGAUCCGAGUUGACAAGUGGUUCCAUAUCAUUGACAGCCAAACAGUUCUCGGUGCAAUCCAAAGGGAGAGCUAUGGUUAUCAAACCUUCUUUGCAAACAGGAUCGGCGAGAUCCAGAACACAACAGCAAUCCGAGAUAGGUGGUGGAUUCCUGGUCCUCUCAAUAUUGCUGAUAUCAUAACCAGAGGGGCCAGUCCUCAAGACCUGGAUGAAAGUUCAGAAUGGCAGAACGGACCAACAUUCUUGAAGCUACCAGUGGAGGAGUGGCCAGUUAAAUCUGCCAAAGAGUUGGUGAUGGCUGCCAGAGACGGUGUCAACAGAUUACAGAAGAAAGCCUUUGUUGCUGCACUGACCCGAGCACAAGCCAAGGCACAACUGCUGCCGGAUCCAAAGGAUACUGACACGCAGAAGCCUUCUGAAUUAAAGCAAGACCAGGAACCAACUCAGACCCAAACACAACCAAAGAGGCCACCAGCAGGAUCAACUGUCCAAGAACUGGUGGAUGUCAAGCGGUUCAGUAACCUAAGCCGACUUGUCAAAACAGUCGCCUGGAUCCGGAGAGCAGCAAGGAUGUUCAUGAAAGGGAACAAGCGAACUGCAAACAAUCCAAAGUGGGAGGCAGUGUCGUUUUCAAAAGUCAUCUCAGUGACAGAGAGGGAAGACGCCCUAAAAGACAUCUUCCUUGCGGCACAGCAAAGUGCAUUCUUCCCAAGCACAACCACAGACAGGCUGGUGGUGUACAGAGACCAAGAGACUGGAUUGUUGGUCUGUGGGGGUCGUGUGCAGAUCUUCAAUGAAGAUAAAGUUGCUGUCCCCAUCUUGCCUUACGAAGCCUGGGUGUCGACACUGUUAGCACGAGAAGCCCACGAGGAGAACCACGAUGGAGUGGCCGGGACCUUGCUCAAGAUGAGAAGAAGAGCAUGGGUCGUGAAAGGUCGGAGAAUUGCUCAAAAAGCGGUCGAAAACUGCAUGUUCUGCAGGAAAACUAAAGCAAAAAGAUGCCAGCAAAUAAUGGGUGAUCUACCUCCAGAGAGGACAGAACCAGCUGCCCCAUUCCACUACACAACAGUCGACCUCUUCGGACCCUACCAAGUCAGGGAUGAUGUGAAGAAAAGAGUGUCACUGAAGGUUUGGGGAAUUGUGUUUUGUUGCAUGGCCUCCAGAGCUAUUCACACCGAUCUGGUGAACUCUCAGUCCACAGAGAGUUUUCUGUUUGCCUACCAGAGGUUCACAGCACUAAGAGGUCAUCCAAAGAAAAUCUGGUCAGAUCCUGGGACCAACUUCACUGGGGCUAAGCCAGUCCUAGAAGAACAGUACCGAUUCCUUGCCAAUCUUGACAAAGCUACCCUGGAGGAGAGAGCUGCCAAGGAUGGCACAGAAUGGUCGUGGAAGAUUCAUCCAGCCGAUUCUCCACACCGGAAUGGUGCCGCAGAAGCUGCUGUGCGCAUUGUCAAGAGAGCACUGCAGAGUCUUGGAGGAGAGUCCGGCCUAAGGUGGAGUGAAUUCCAAACAACUCUCUACACGGCUGCCAAUCUUGCAAAUGAAAGACCAAUUGACGCCAGGACACAGAGCCGAGAAGACAGCGUCCAGUUCAUCACUCCUAACUGUCUCCUGCUCGGACGAGCAUCACAGGGUGGAGAUGUCAGAACAUUCGAUUUCAGUGACUAUCCCUACAAAAGGCUUAAAGAAAUGCAAGCGCAAGUUAACAAGUUCUGGAGGAACUGGAGUCAACUUGCUGGUCCUAACUUAUUCGUAAGGAACAAAUGGCAUACCGCCAAGAGAAAUGUCGCAGUCGGGGACAUCGUCUGGAUGGCGGACCAAAACGCCCUUAGGGGUCAGUUCAGGAUUGCAAGAGUGGUUAGCGUCAACUCGGACAGCAAAGGAGUUGUGAGGGACGUCAAUGUCAGAACCUUCCCAAGCUACCCCGUUCCUGUCACAAGGCCUACCGGAGCAAAAGUAAGUCACCGAACAUCUAAGAAAUUCAAAGAAAAGAUCCCAGCAGCAGUUCUUCACAGAGACGUAAGGCGACUAGUGGUCUUGCUUCCCACCGAAGAACAGAACUAA
ensembl:lncRNA